GUCGCCUCCACCUCGGGCUCGAGAGAGAGGAUGGGGAGGUCGUGCUAUUUUUUUAUGAGGAGUGGGGAGAGCGCUAGAUGUUUUUGUGGAGGCCGACGUGGGCUGCUCGUGGCCACACAAAGGGAAUCAGCAAAUCAGGCUAAGAUGGACCAAUGGGAGGGGGAGGAGGUGAGGUGGCAUUGAGGUGCACCAAUGGCAGAUUUGAGGAGACGUGGCUGGGGUAGCGACACGGGGAGCAACUUAGAAUUGUUAGGGUAAAUUAGUCCAAAGAUUUUAGAUAUAAAAAUAAGAAAUUCGCAAGAUAAUAGAAGUGUAGUAGUUUCGAAAUUUAUACUAUACAAUCCGCAGUAAUUGAAAACUAUCUGGAAUUAUUUGCAUGCUAGUCGCAUGGAAAAACUAACCGUUUCAUGAAGUCCACAAUAUUAGCAAGUCCGCAAAGAAUAUUUAACUUAGAAGCCUAUAUCCAUUGCACUGUUGUCACCACAUCCAGAUGGAUUAUUUUCUUAGCACUAUAAGUUGCUAGAACCUUGGGCACAAAAAGAUUUUUCACUCACCUAUGCAGGGAAGACUUGUUUUCAUUGUUCUCUAGGAUGAUGUGCUCGAGUAUAUUGCUAUGAAUGUCCAUGACAUGUGUGACUUAGCAGAGGAGGAACCAUUCCAAUUGUCAUGUUGCCAAUGUUGUAGAGUCUUCUCAAAUCAAGAGCACCAGUCAUACUGAACACCGCCAACCAACAGGCCAGCUAUAUUCACCUAAAAAUUUAUUAUGAAUUGCAUACGAGGCAAAGAAAACUAACCUAACAUUCAUAACAGAAUACCAAACGAGGAAAGGAUCCUUACUCAGAAUUCAGAAAAACAAGAAAAUGGGACAAUCUCUCGGUGUUGAAUGGCCAGAUAGACCUGUUUUUAAUUCGAGUGUUCCAUCCUGGCUCUCAUUGCAUAACCAUAUAUAUAGUUUCCAUUGCGGCACCUAGGUCUGUCACUGUUAUCUAAAAAUCAAAACCGUUACUCCGAAAGGGAAGAUCAAAUUUUAUCGAAUUCCUAUACUGAGUAUAUGGUUAGUAGGUCAGAUUAGAUCCUACUAGGAUAAGUAUAGGAGCUGCUGACAUAUUUGUAGGUCCUCUGUUGUGCAUACCCUGCUUCAAGGCAACAAAGGGGAAAAACAUGAGUGAGCCUAGCAGCAGACAUAACACAUAAUCAGAAUGAGAAAGCACUUCACAUGUGAAAAAAGGAAAGAUAGAAAAAGGGUCAUGUGGAUGCCUAUGGAUAAUAUGUAUUGAUUACUUAUCAUUGAUGGGAACAAACAGAUUUCUAAUCAAUUGAAAUUUAUUUUGCACAAGAGGCUAAUGCUAUCCUAAUCCACUCCAUUCUGUGCAUCUAGAAAAGACAUGAAAGAAAGACACAACCGCCAAAAGGAAAGAAACUCACCAACACACCUUCCAAUCUUAUUAGUCUACGCAGAUCCUCUUGGAUGAGGUCCUACAUCACAUAGCAUAGAGAAAAGGAGCAUCAGCAAGCAUGAAGCAGAAGGAAGAUGUGCUCCAAAUCCCCAAGAACACAAUAUUGAAGAAUAGACAGAAAGAAGUGUGUGGGUAAGAUCAUGUAACCCUGUUGUUUCCAUCAGGUAGAAAUAGUGUACAUAGUAUUUUAAAGUUGGAAAUGCAGAUGUUUAAUUAUUGUACUGUAAAAUAUGUAAAUUUAAGAGUAAGGAAAAGCUGAAGUUUAUUACCUGACCGAAGAUGUGUAAGCAUGUCUAGAUACAUGUGUUGGUUGUCUAACACUGAAAAAUAGAAAUAAUCUAGGAAAUAAAAUACGAUAAUGCUUUUAGAUUUGCAGUUGUGUAAUGAAGAUGUGUAAGCAUGUGUACAUACAUGUCUUGGUUGGCUAACACUGACAAAUAGAAAUAAUCGAAGAAAUAAAAUACGAUAAUGCUUUUAGAUUUGCAACUGUUUAAUCAGCAUUAGACUGCAAAUAUUACCCGGGUGAGAAAUUCUGCAUGAGUCAUGUUUAGACUAUUUGAGCAGAACCUCCAAAGAACCCUACAUCCUCAAGCACAAGCGUCGUGUAUCAGUGAAAGGAAAUUCCAAAAAAUCAUGAAGGUACAAAUGAAGCCAAAAAUGUUACAGGGCAGCAUCACCUAGAGAGCACGGACCUAGCAGAGGGGCAUAGAAGGCAAGCAAACCACAGUGCACUGUGUUACAUCGGGCUGGACUAUGGGCAACCACCCGUGCUUGCGUGCCGGCCGAUUCGGAGCUGAGGUCAGAACUAUGCCGGUAUGUUACCCACACCAGGGUCGCUGCCACCUACGGCGGGGCAAUACCCUAGGUCACCUCAUCGCCACCGCCACCGCUGCCAUGUUGGGGGCUCGCUGUCGCUCCGUACGUCACAUGUGGAGGUGUGGAGGAGAACAAGGGCCAUGGUCAUCGUGCCGAGUGGCAGCCAAUGUGGAGGUCCACUUGUGCCACCGGCCUAUCCGCAUCGGAAGGGAUGGGGAGAGAGAGAGAAUGGAAGGGAAGAGACUGUCGAGACUUAUACGCACGGUGGACGGAGAAGGAGGGGGCUAGCGCUGCGCUGGCUUGGGGCGUCGUCGUGCCGUCGCCCCUGGCUCGGCCGCACCGCCCGUGGGGCGCUGUCGUCUCGUCGCCUCCACCUCGGGCUCGAGAGAGAGGAUGGGGAGGUCGUGCUAUUUUUUAUGAGGAGUGGGGAGAGCGCUAGAUGUUUUUGUGGAGGCCGACGUGGGCUGCUCGUGGCCACACAAAGGGAAUCAGCAAAUCAGGCUAAGAUGGACCAAUGGGAAGGGGAGGAGGUGAGGUGGCAUUGAGGUGCACCAAUGGCAGAUUUGAGGAGACGUGGCUGGGGUAGCGACACGGGGAGCAACUUAGAAUUGUUAGGGUAAAUUAGUCCAAAGAUUUUAGAUAUAAAAAUAAGAAAUUCGCAAGAUAAUAGAAGUGUAGUAGUUUCGAAAUUUAUACUAUACAAUCCGCAGUAAUUGAAAACUAUCUGGAAUUAUUUGCAUGCUAGUCGCAUGGAAAAACUAACCCUGUCAUGAAGUCCACAAUAUUAGCAAGUCCGCAAAGAAUAUUUAACUUAGAAGCCUAUAUCCAUUGCACUGUUGUCACCACAUCCAGAUGGAUUAUUUUCUUAGCACUAUAAGUUGCUAGAACCUUGGGCACAAAAAGAUUUUUCACUCACCUAUGCAGGGAAGACUUGUUUUCAUUGUUCUCUAGGAUGAUGUGCUCGAGUAUAUUGCUAUGAAUGUCCAUGACAUGUGUGACUUAGCAGAGGAGGAACCAUUCCAAUUGUCAUGUUGCCAAUGUUGUAGAGUCUUCUCAAAUCAAGAGCACCAGUCAUACUGAACAACACCAACCAACAGGCCAGCUAUAUUCACCUAAAAAUUUAUUAUGAAUUGCAUACGAGGCAAAGAAAACUAACCUAACAUUCAUAAUAGAAUACCAAAUGAGGAAAGGAUGCUUACACAGAAUUCAGAAAAACAAGAAAAUGGGACAAUCUCUGGUUGUUGAAUGGCCAGAUAGACCUGUUUUUAAUUCGAGUGUUCCAUCCUGGCUCUCAUUGCCAUAUCCAUAUAUAUAGUAUCUAUUGCGGCACCUAGGUCUGUCCCUGUUAUCUAAAAAUCAAAACGGUUACUCCGAAAGGGAAGAUCAAUUUUUAUUAAAUUCCUAAACUGAGUAUAUGGUUAGUAGGUCAGAUUAGAUCCUACUGGGAUAUGUAGGAGCUGCUGACAUAUUUGUAGGUCCUCUGUUGUGCAUACCCAGCUUCAAGGCAACAAAGGGGAAAAACAUGAGUGAGCCUAGCAGCAGACAUAAUACAUCAGAAUGAGAAAGCACUUCACAUGUGAAAAAGGAAAGAUAGAAAAAGGGUCAUGUGGAUGCCUAUGGAUAAUAUGUAUUGAUUACUUAUCAUUGAUGGGACCAAACAGAUUUCUAAUCAAUUGAAAUUUAUUUUGCACAAGAGGCUAAUGCUAUCCUGAUCCACACCAUUCUGUGCAUCUAGAAAAGACAUGAAAGAAAGACACAACCGCCAAAAGGAAUGAAACUCACCAACACACCUUCCAAUCUUAUUAGUCUACGCAGAUCCUCUUGGUUGAGGUCCUACAUCACAUAACAUAGAGGAAAGGAGCAUCAGCAAGGAUGAAAUAGAGGGAAGAUGUGCUCCAAAUCCCCAAGAACACAAUAUUGAAGAAUAGACAGAAAGAAGUGUGUGGGUAAGAUCAUGUAACCCUGUUGUUUCCAUCAGGUAGAAAUAGUGUACAUAGUAUUUUAAAGUUGGAAAUGCAGAUGUUUAAUUAUUGUACUGUGAAAUAUGUAAAUUUAGGAGUAAGGAAAAGCUGAAGUUUAAUACCUGACCCAAGAUGUGUAAACAUGUCUAGAUACAUGUGUUGGUUGUCUAACACUGAAAAUUAGAAAUAAUCUAGGAAAUAAAAUACGAUAAUGCUUUUAGAUUUGCAGUUGUUUAAUGAAGAUGUGCAAGCAUGUGUACAUACAUGUGUUGGUUGGCUAACACUGACAAAUAGAAAUAAAAUACAACAAUGCUUUUAGAUUUGCAACUGUUUAAUCAGCAUUAGACUGCAAAUAUUGCCCAGGUUAGAAAUUCUGCACGAGUCAUGUAUAGACUAUUUGAGCAGAACCUCAAAAGAACCCUACAUCCUGAAGCACAAGCGUUGUGUAUCAGUGAAAGGAAAUUCCAAAACAUCGUGAAGGUACAAAUGAAGCCAAAAAUGUUACAGGGCAGCAUCACCUAGAGAGCACGGACCUAGAAGAGGGGCAUAGAAGGCAAGCAAACCACAGUGCACUGUGUUACAUCGGGCUGGACUAUGGGCAAUCACCCGUGAUGGCGUGUCGGCCGAUUCGGAGCUGAGGUCGGAACUAUGCCGGUAUGUUACCCACACCAGGGUCGCUGCCACCUACGGCGGGGCAAAACCCUAGGUCACCUCAUCGCCACCGCCACCGCCGCCACAUUGGGGGCUCGCUAUCGCUCCGUACGUCACCCGUGGAGGUGUGGAGGAGAACAAGGGCCGCGGUCAUCGUGCCGAGUGGCAGCCAAUGUGGAGGUCCACUUGUGCCACCGCCCUAUCCGCAUCGGAAGGGAUGGGGAGAGAGAGAGAGAACGGAAGGGAAGAGACUGUCGAGACUUAUACGCACGGUAGAUGGAGAAGGAGGGGGCUAGCGCUGCGCUGGCAUGGGGCGUCGUCGUGCCGUCGCCCCUGCCUCGGCCGCACCGCCCGUGGGGCGCUGUCGUCUCGUCGUAUCCACGUCGGGCUCGAGAGAGAGGAUGGGGAGGUUGUGCUAUUUUUUUAUGAGGAGUGGGGAGAGCGCGAGAUGUUGAGUGGAAGCCAACGUGGGCUGCUCCUGGCCACACAAAGGGAAUCAGCCAAUCAGGCUAAGAUGGACCAAUGGGUGGGUGAGGAGGUGAGGUGGCAUUGAGGUGCACCAAUGGCAGAUUUGAGGAGACGUGGCUGGGGUGGCGACACGGGGAGCAACUUAGAAUUGUUAGGGUAAAUUAGUCCAAAGAUUUUAGA
rnacentral:lncRNA from 1 species